UUAUGCAAUUUAUGCAUAGAUUUAUUUACUUCUAUAAACAUUUGAGAAGGAAAUUUUAUUAUCUAAAUAUAUCCAAACAAAUUAAAAUGUUAGAAUGAAUUAAUCAAAGGAUCAACAGGAUUAUACUCUUAAAAUAAAAAUUAUAUAUAUAUAUCGAAGACUUUAUUUUACUAUUAAAAAAUAAUACUUCUCGUUUCGCUCGUCCACACGCACUUUUAUACUCACAUUUUACUUCGAGCUGUUGUCAAUCCGAAGGAGACAUAGCGUGAGGUGCGAACUCGACUCAACGUGAUAACACGAGAAUGCUCAUGGGGAAUAACACCAAGCAGACGUCUGUGUUUGACAUAAAAUUAUUACCGGUAAUAUUCCUUUCGCAACGAUGCAUAAAUCGGUUCGUAAAUCAAUGCUUCUAACAGACGGAACCGGAACCGGAGAAAAAGCAACAACAUUGGAAUAAUGAUGUAACGAUCACACGAUGCGAGGAAUAAUUGAGAGGCUCAUAAUUAAAUUGUGGUUGUUUACGCAUUUGAAUGAAAAAUUUCAAUGUGUAUAAAUCCACAGAAUGUGCAGAUGUGAUUAUAUAUUUAAGUUUGUGAUAUAAUUUGUUCAAAUUUGCAUAAACUACUCAAAAUAUAAUAUAAUUCUCGUCAAAAUUUUUUAUUUAUUUAGAUAAUAAUGGAUUAUUAUUUUAUACUUUGAAGAGAGUGAGAAUUAACUAAAACGAUACUUUUGUAAUGGCGAGAAAUUUGAUAGAAACUCGUAGAAAAUUUCUGAAAAACAAAUAUUCAUGAAAACUAUAUGACAAAUGACGAAAAAUCUUAUUAAAAAUAACACGUACCAUUAAACAAAAAAUUAAUAUUAUAAUAAAAAAUAGUGGAUGCAUUCAAGCACAAAUCGUCAAGCAUGCUAUUUCAUUAAAAAAAAAAAAAAAAACAAAAGAAAGAAAGAAAAGAAAAUAAAUGAAUAAAAAUUUAUCGAAUAAAAAUCGAAGAUAACGGCAUUCCUUUGCGUCCAUCCAAUAAAAUUGAACGAACCCUUCGAUUAUCUUCGUUCAGGCGUAUAGAUUUUAUCGUGGCGUGGAAAGGGCAAUCCAGUCGACUGAAUCUCUCGUUUCGACGAAGUUCACACGAAAACUGGCGGGAAUGCCACGAAUUUACGUGCUCACGCUGCCGUGAAACGUAUCUGGCCGCGUGCAACGCAGAAAUAUAACGAACGGGGGCUGGGGAUUGUGUUGAAGUAGUGAGUACGAUGACUUGAGCGCGAAAAAAAUAAUUAGAGAAGUUCGCGAAAAUGUACUCGCGUCGAAAAGUAAACUUGCUCUCUCUCUCUCAAAAUACGAGUUGUUUUUGAUAUCUCUAUGUUUUUAGAUUGUCCAGAGAAAGAUCCAAACAGGAGAAUUGCAACGAUUAUGUUUGUUCGUUUAAUUAACGAUCGUGCAAUAACCAAUUUGUGGAUGUGUGGAUACAUAGGAAAAUUGGAUUCGAUCGGUUGGAGAAGAUGGAUCUCGACUAUAUUUCAUAUAUAACUCGACCCAAUCGAUUUUCUUUUGCUUCUUGUUGAUUGUGCGGUGGAGAGAUUUGUGUUUUUGUGCUUUUAGAAAUGAAUAUGUAUUUACCUUUCUCGUUAUUUUAGGAUGGAAGCCUGGCCCAUAUGUACUAUUAUUUAUACAAUACAUAUUUUGAAAGUGAGGUUUAGCGAAAGGAAAUUGAACGAUUUGUUUAAACUUGUUUAAUCGAGAUAAAUAUAUUAGUUUUAAUUUUUUUU